rnacentral:tRNA from 1 species
UCCCUGAUGGUUCAGUGGUUAGUAUUUGGUGCUUUCACUGCCAGGGCCCAGGGUUCAAUCCCUGGUUGGGGAA